AUUUCACAGGUGCGUAAUAAUUUUGAUGUCGGUCACCAACUAACUAGUCUCAAUUUUUAGUAUGAAGAACAAGCUGAGACAAUUGAUAUUAUUUGAAGAUAUAUGUUAUUUGAGCCAAGGGUAUGUCAAUCAAGUAAACUAGAAUUUUAAUAAAGUUCAAAAGGUUGCAUUUAUACUUUAUGUGUGUAUUAUAUUUUAUUUCAUUGAUAUAGUAAGCUUUCUGCCUAUAUUUUACAGGUUGCAUUUAUUAAAUAACCAAAAGGUGUAUUUUAGUCUAUUUUUGGAAUACUUGCUCCUGUAUUGUGGAGAAACAGAACAUUUACACCCAUUCAUGUAUCUGUAUGAACAAGAUUUUUGGAAUAUUUGCUCCUGUAUUGUGGAGAAACAGAACAUUUACUUGCUCCUAUCAUGUAUCUAUAUGCAUUUAUUGUUACCAGUUAAGUCCAACCAUACUUGGUAUUCAUUCCUUUUCAGUUACACUAACCGUAACUUGCUUUUCAUUUAAUAUGUGAUCUAUGAUAGAUGACCUAGUUCUAUAAUUGCAUACAUUAAACAGUAGAUCUGUCACUUAGCCCCGACACCUCCUUUCUUCUUUGGACCCAGAAGGAAGAGAGAAUCUAGACAAAUUUAUACAGUUGACUUGACAAAUUUAUCAAAGAAAUAUCAUGAUGGCAAUAAGCAUCCUUCUUGAAUGACAUUGUUGCAGGGGAAUACCAUCUUUUUUAAAAAUAUUCGAGAACGAUAUAUACUUCAUCUAGGUUACUUUUGACUAUUUUCUGGUGAUUCAUGUACAUACUUCAAUGAUGUAUAAAUGAUUAGAUUGCAGUAUAAUGAAACAUUUAGAGCUGAAAUGUAAUAUAAACGAGACCCUCAAAUACUCCAUUUGACUUGAAUACUUCUUGAAUGAAACAUUUAGAGCUAAAAAAAUUUUGUCGUUGUUUAUUGUUGCAUAAACAUCUUAAACUAAUUUUUCUUUGUAACGAAUGUAGAUGGAUGGUGUAGAUGAAGAACAAAUAAAGAGGAUGUGUUCUAAUACGACUAUAUCUUCCGUGGUUACAAUAAUAGUUUGUUUAUUGAGAAUUCGUGCUAGGCGCAAAUCCAUUUGUUAUGCUCCAAGAGAGGACAAGAUGAGGAAAAUUUAUUGUAGAAAUGCCCACUUCAAGCGCAUAUUUGAAGGAUAUAGUGAUAGUUGUAGGUCUUAUAUUAGAAUGAGGCCUAAAGCUUUUUCAAACUUGCGGAUGUUAUGCGAAAUCAUGGUUUUUUAAAGGACACAAAACACCUUCAAGUUGAAGAACAACUUGCUAUGUUUCUUUGCAUAGUGGGUCACAAAACACCUUCAAGUUGAAGAACAAAUUUGUGCUCGUUGUCGAGCUAUGAGGCUGUUUUUCCAUUUAAUAUGCUGAUUCGAGCUUGUUUAACUCUCUAUUGUCGGGUUUUUGGAUCGAUAUUUGUGCUCGUUGUCGAGCUUUGGGGCUGUUUUUUAUAUUUAAUAUGCUAAUUCGAGCUUGUUUAGCUCUCUAUUGUUGUGUUUUUUUGGUCGACAUCUGAUGCUAGAAAUUUCUUGGAUGGUGAUCUUAUUGAAUCUUUCCUUGAUCUUAACCGUGUGAAAGGUAGAUGUAUGAGUUUCUGCUCGAGAUAAUUUUCUUGUUAAUUAAAAUGGGUAUUUGAAUAAUGCUGAGUUAAGGCCUGAUUUCAGGGAAUUAUCCUGAAUGGGAUGAGCACCAUCCAAUUCAUUUUGUUGGGCACUCGGCUGGAGCUCAAGUUAUUCGAGUGUUGCAGCAAAUGCUAGCCGAUAAGACCUUUGAAGGCUAUGACAACAGUAAUGAGGAAUGAGUAUUGAGUGUCACUUCUCUAAGUGGAUCUCUAAAUGGAACUACAAGAUCAUAUUUUGAUGGAAUGCAGCCAGAUGAUGGGAGAUCAAUGAAAUCAAUAUGCCUUCUUCAGCUCUGUCGACUAGGAGUCAUCGUCUACGACCAUGGAUGUUCCUGUUGAGGAGCUCUGCAGGAGAGUUGAGGAGCUUGCAAAAUUACAAUGAAAACAUAUGUCAAAAAUAUAUUUACUUUAGUUCUAUUUUAUGUUCCGUCCUCAAGUUAUUUCUGGUCUUCAAUAUUUUAGUUUUAUUUACCAAAAAUUAUUGCUUGAGAUAAUUUUCUUGUUAUGAGUUAUUAUGAUUCAAUCGAGCGUUUGUAAUAUGUUUGUGGCA